rnacentral:rRNA from 1 species
UACGUAGGGUGCAAGCGUUGUCCGGAAUUAUUGGGCGUAAAGAGCUCGUAGGCGGUUCGUCGCGUCGGCUGUGAAAACCCGGAGCUCAACUCCGGGCCUGCAGUCGAUACGGGCGGACUCGAGUUCGGCAGGGGAGACUGGAAUUCCUGGUGUAGUGGUGAAAUGCGCAGAUAUCAGGAGGAACACCGGUGGCGAAGGCGGGUCUCUGGGCCGAUACUGACGCUGAGGAGCGAAAGCGUGGGGAGCGAACAGG